rnacentral:miRNA from 1 species
UUUCCGAUGUGAAGGACACUGU